AUUUACGGAGCUAUAUCACACACGUCACUGGGAUGGCGCUUUUUCUUCCCACUCUUACGUCGAAUAAAAUGCUUAAACGCAAAUAAAUAAAAGGAACAGAUAACAAAAAGUGCAGCUUUUUCUGAGAAAAAUAUCAGUUGCGACGAGCUCGAUUAGUAGUCGGCGCGCUUAAAAUGGAGCUCGAACUAUAUAAGGUAUCGCGCCUCGUAAACGACCGUCCGUUUGCCAUGAGGAGAAAUGUUUAGCAUAUCUUGUACAUCAAAUGGUUGAUCUA